rnacentral:misc_RNA from 1 species
AAGUCGUAACAAGGUUUCCGUAGGUGAACCUGCGGAAGGAUCAUUAACAAAUUUGCUGUUGAUUAUGCAUGCAAAAAAGCUGUGUCUCUAGAGAUUAAUUUCUUUAGAGAUGCAUAACAAACAAGUAACCUGGGGUACUUUAAGGUGAAGUGCUUUACUGUGCUUUGUCUUAGAGCCCUUCUAAUAAUCCCUAUUUUACCAUUUUACCCCUUGAUAAACUAUAAGACUGAUAUGACAUGAUAAAUGUCAAACACUUAAAACUAUAAAACAACUCUUAACAAUGGAUAUCUAGGCUCUG